rnacentral:lncRNA from 1 species
ACGCAGGUUAGAGCCUUGGACGGGGAAGCGGAAAAGGCUUAGCAGCUACUAAUGGGUUCUAUUAAUAGUAGUAGUGUUAGUUUCCUGAUAAAAGGUCCUUUGGAAACUUUGAUUCUCUUCUCACCAAGUUGAACGGAGAUGUGUUCCCAUAGUAAGAGUGAGGCCCCUGCAUUUGCUGCCCUCGGUUUUCCCAACUAACACCAGGGCCUCCCCCCUGUACCCCAUUCAUAUGCCUCAGAAGCUGACAAUGACUGUUGGGCUUUUCCAAUGAAUACCAGAACACCAUUUCCUGCAGCCUGAAAAGAAGACAGUAUAAUUGUUUGGCAGCAAGAGACAGGAUCUCGCUGCGUUGCUCAGACUGGUCUCGAACUCCUGGGCUUAAGGGAUUCUCCUGCCUCAAUCACAGCCUCCCAAGUAGCUGAGAUUAAAAGUGCUCACCACCGUGCCAGCGAGUUCAGUUUUUGAGAUAAGGGGAAAUUGGAGCUCAGAGAUUUAAGCCACCUGCCAGAGGUCACAUGGCCCAUAAAAGGGUGGAGCCAAGACUCUGAGGAGAGGGCUGAACUGUGAACCUAGAAGUACCAUCUCCCCCUGCACACACCUUUGGUCAAGUUGACCCCAAGAAGAAGGACAAGUCCUCUGCACGGCGAUGAGGCCAUACACACAGUCUGUGGCCCGGCUUUGGGAGACUGAUGGGACAAAGGAUGUUUUGCACGAUCCUUGGUCUCUGAGCAAAUAUAUACAUGGGUUAACACAAA